rnacentral:lncRNA from 1 species
UAUUCUCUUAUUUUUUCUGUCAUAUGUGAAAUUAGGGUAAUAGAUUAUCAGAUUAGGUAUUAAACGUUCAAUUUAUUAGAACAAGCGAGAGCAAAGGAAAAAGGAGAAACUGCUGCUGCUACAUAACACAAAAUCUCAGGUUCCUUUAUUUUAAUGUGUACAUGAGUGUGAUAUGUAUAAUUUUAGUGGAAAGAAAAAUUUGAUUAAUGGAAAAAGUAGGCCACUGCUGGCAAGAAACCAGGUGGCGCAGGCCACUGUAGUUGAUUUCACACUUUUUCAAUGAAAUGAAUGGCCACUAUUGGCUGAUUUCUUAAUUUCGCCUGAAUUUCAAAAGUGGCACAGACCACUAUUGGUUGCCUUCUUAAUUCUCCACGAAUUUCAAAGUUGCGCCUGCCAUUGUUUUGUUGUUAGUUUCAAAACCGAAGGUUAUCGUAUGAAGUUAAUUAUUAUUUUUGGAUAAAUUAAGGUUUAAGGAUAAAUUAAGGUUUAGUCCUAGGAUUUAUAGAAUAAGAAUUUAUAAAUGGGUGUUAUUAAAUUUGUAUUCUUAAGAGGAUUAUAUGUUUGAACAGAUUUUGAAUGUUUCGAAAAUUUGAAAAAUGACAAGGCACUUGUGGACUACUGAUAUUUGAGUUCUUCGGUUGAGGUAAAUUAUGGUUUAAUUAGAGUUUAGACUCAAUUUAAUUGUGUGUAGGCUCCUAAAUUGGAUACUUGUGGAUUGGUAUUCGUACAUGUUUGAAAUUAUUGAUGUUUGGAUUGUUGAUUCAUGUAUAAAUAUUUAUUGAAAAUUGACUUGAUGGAAUUGUUUCACGAUUUUAAGUGUACUUGUAAUCUUGGUACAUUGUGUUGUAUGCUUUGUGUUUGUGUAAAUUUAUAUUGAUAAUACUUGUUUAUGUUUAUGUUGGAUUGGGUACCACGCUGGUACGUUUACAUUUAUGUUGGAUCGGGUAACACGCUGGUACGUUUACAUUUAUGUUGAAUCGGGUACCACGCUGGUACAUUUAUAUUUAUGUUGGAUCGGGUACCAUACCAAUACAUUUAUAUUUAUGUUCGAUCGGGUACCACACCGGUACGUUUAUAUUUAUGUUGAAUCGGGUAUCACACCGGUAUGGAUAUGUAUAUGUUUGAUCGGGUACCACGUUGGUACGUUUAUAUUUAUGUUGGAUCGGGUACCACACCGGUAUGUUUAUAUUUAUGUUGGAUCGGAUAUCACGCCGGUAUGUUUAUAAUUAUGGUCGAUCGGGUACCAUGUCGGUACAUUUAUAUUUAUUUUGGAUCGGGUACCACGCCGGUACGGAUAUGUAUAUGUUGGAUCGGGUACCACGCCGGUAUGGUACAUGAACAUAGAUUGUUGCCUACAGGUCAUGACUAUUGGGCAAAAAUAAGUCUCAUAGCAUGUGUGUACAUAUUUGUGUUGAUUCUGUGUAUGUUUACAGUAUGGUUGAUACUCUUGAUGGUUAUGUGGCUUGUUUGUGAGCACUAUUUGACAUGUUGUUGUUGUAUUGUUGAUUCAUUGAAUAUUUGUUGUAUGACGAUGUUUGUCUACUUGUUAUUUGAUUUAUGUUGUGUACAUGCUAUUAAAUUGAGUUGACCUAUGAUACCUACCAGUAUAUAAUGGUUUGUACUGAUACUAUCCUGUACUCUUCUUUUGUUAAGUGUAGAAAGUGUUCUGGGCUCAGACAUGACCUCAUCUCUAGAGUUUGAUAGCAGAUAUUGAUCCAAGGGUGAGCACUCCAUCUCCAGGCUGCCAUGGGUCAUCUUAUUUGUUCUUGUCCAUCUUUCGGGCAAUGAAACAUUCUUUAUUUACUUUAUUUUUGGAUAUCACUUUAGAUAUGAUCUUUGUUAUUAGUUCUUGUACGGUGACUUUUGGGUCUUGGGGAUUUUAGUAAGUAUUUUAUUUGACUUCUGCAUUAAUAACGAUUAAUCCUGAAUUAUUAUUAUUAUGUUAAUUUUAUGAUAUCAUCAUCUUAAUAUUGACUAAGUGUUUGGGUAAUGGUUUGGUUUAGAUGGUUCUCCCACAGAAAGAUUAAUGUGGGCGCCACUCAUGGUCAUUUAGGUCGUGACAAAGUUAGUAUCAGAGCCCUAGGUUAGUCGAUCUCAUCGUACAAGGACAUAUCUAGUAGAGCCUUGCGGAAUGAUAUGGAGACAUCUGUACUUUUCUUCGAGAGGCUAUUGGACACUUGGAAAAUUCAAAUUUUUCUUUCUUUCAUGAUAUUAAUUGAUUUCAAUUGGUAUCUGGCGAUUCCAAUUGGCAUCUAUUAAUAAGAGAAGUGUCAAGUAGAGUUCCGUAGAUUAGUGUGUAGGGCCCCACACCCAAUCUCCGUAUGACUAUGAUGCAUGUAGAAUUCAUUUUCCUUUCUUUCUCUCCAUCGUGCCGUCCUAAUCUUGGACUACUAGAUUGAAUCCAAUUGGUAUGUAGACAAUUUCAAUUGGUAUCUUAAUAAUUUUGAAUAAAAAUCUAGGAGAUUUCAACUAGUAUCUGUUAAUAAAGUCUAAAAGUCAUUGUUAAUAGGUAAAGACUUGUGAAAGUUGUGAAGUUAUUGAUUGCUUGUGUUUGAUAAUUGGCUAAACUAUUGUUGCUAGCUUUUUGUCAUUAUUGUGAAUUAUUUUUAUUAAGUGAUGAAAAUUAACUAAGUUAUUUUUGUUGAUAAAUGUGAUGGAAUUGUUUGAUUUCUUAUUAUUGUGAAACUAGAAAUUCUAUGGUGCUUACUUAUUUUUGGUACUAUUAUACUGAUGAGAUUGAUGGUAUGUGAAUUGAGAGGAUGAUAUGAGAAUGUGAGGUCGAGAAAAGAUAGUGAAAAAGUGACAUGAAUAAAAGAUUAAGGUGAUAUGUAUUUUCAGUAAUGAGAGGUUCUUGUUAAUGAUGUUGUGGAUGGACCCUUGUGUAGUUCGAUUAUUUGAUAUUAUUUGGGGAUCCUUGUGUGGUCCGAUCAUUGAGACUGUAUUUAGAAUUUUUGUGCAGCUCUAUUAUUGAAACUAUAAUGGGUUUCUUGUCAGGACUAUCUAAGUGACGUUAUCUUUAAGUUCCUUAUGUGAAUGAAAUUCUUAAUGCUUGAAAAAAUAAUGUGUUUUAAAUAAAAGUAGCAAAAACUAGUAGAGGUUGUUUAUACCUACAGAAUUUGAUCGAUGACUUGUCUGAAAUGUGAUAUUGGUGAUAAGACUGUCAAUGACCUAUAAUUGAUUUAUUUUGUUUGGCCUUUCUUAUGUGCUGGUGGUGUGGGGACCACUCUUGAGGUGAUUAAGAGUUAAGUAAAGCCCGUAAUGAAAAUAUUGUUAGGUAGAAAUAAGAAUGACUCUGUAUAUCUUAAAUUGGUGUUAGUGAUACAGGAGAGUUUUGGCUUGACCAUGAAGUAUUUGUCAUUGAAAAAUAUUAAGUUAGUGAUUGUCAGGACAUAAGUUGUAGUGUGGAUUUAUGCAUUAGGAAAAAUUUUGAGAAGAAAAAUUAUUAGUGACUUGACCUUGUGGCUGAAUUAUACAUUUGCAUGUCCCACAAAGUUGGCUGAUAUAUGACACUUUUGAGGAUAGUAAUUUCCAUGAUAGUGGCAAUGCAAAAUCAAAUGGCUUAGUUACAUUCAUAAAAUAAUUAAGGAUGAUCCUGAAUGGGGGGGAUAAAUAAAUUAUUAAACGGCAUGAUUGAUCUUUCCUUGAGUGAUACUUGGUGGAUAUUCUUGUUGAGUGGUUAAGGUAUGAUGAUUAGAUGGAUAUUAACAAUGUUGUGGAGGAUAAUGUGUUGUAGGCUCUAAUUCUUUGGGACCCGUCAGAUGACAUGUUUAUACCCUUUUUGAAUUCUAUUGCUUUUCCUCCCUAGUUUAGAUUAGUUGUAGCAUAGUUAUGAUGUAAACCUAUGUUUGGGAUGUGGUUUUAGUAUUUGAAGCUUGAUUUUUAUAUUUAGCCUUAUUGGGCUAGUAUGGUAGUCUUGAAACCGUAACUUAGGUAGAGUUGACUUGAGUACCUUGUUUUUAGUUGAAGCUGCUAUCUUGGGCUUGAAUAUGGGUUACUUGACAUCUAGAAGAUGAACUAGAUACCUUAACCUAGUUUGGGGCAUAGUGUGCCUAAUUAUGGAAAUUGAGAAUUAGAAGUGGGAUCGUCUAGCCCACUUAGGCCUAAACUUGUGUUAAGUCCUGUGGACUUAGCUGCAGAUGUUAGACAUAGAUGAGGCUAGUAAACCUUCGAAUAAGGUUACAACUUGGUAACUUGAUUUGAUAUUCCUGGAUUAUGGAUUUUGAGUUAUAGUUAUGAUACUUCUUGUGGAAGUGAUAUUGGGCAUUUAGAGGUGAUAUUCCUCCUAGAUACUUUAUGUCGCCUAUAGAGAUGCUAUUUCCUCUUAGACUGAAUGAUUGGCCCAUAGAGAUGCUAUUUCCUCUUAGAUAUGCAAAUUUGGCCUAGAGAGGUGAUAUUCCUCAUAGUUAUGAUGUAUGACCUAUCGAUAUAAGAUAUCCUACAGACGAUUACAUGUCUAUCUAUAAUAUGCCUCCAAUGUAUGAGAUACCUCCUAUAUGUGAGAUAAUUAGAUAUAUGCUAUGACUUAUAAAUAUGAUUACCAAUAUGAGUUUUGGAUAUGUAUAUGGGCCUAAGGCCGUGAUUAUGAUGUUGUGACUAUUCCAGAUAAAUUAGUGGGCCAAGGGUUGUGUUAUGAUAAUGAUUGAAUAUCUGAGGAGUGUUUAUUAGUAUAAAGGAUACGAUUACAGUUUAUGAAAUAUAUAUGUUUGUAUACACAUCUCUCUGAUAUAGGACGGAGGAAGAUGAGGUAUAUUGCUCAUGACAUUAUUGAUUGGAUACUGGUGAUGGCUAGGAAUCUAAUAUAUUAGUUAAUGAAUCUUGCUUAGUUGAAACAUGGUAGCUAGCGAUGGUUAAUGCAUUACUUGUGGUGCGGUCAGGUCUAGCAUAGGUAAAGAUUAGUUGAUAUUGACGACUAAGUUGGUAUUGAUGACUAAGUUUGUGAUGUCAAUUAGUGGAUAACAGAGGAGUUGUAUACUAAUGAGGCUAGGUAAUAAGAUAUGUUGGUAAUAAGAGGUGACUAGUUAAUAACUUUUAAUAGUUGCAAAAUGAUUAACUAAUGAAUAGUUAAGCAAGGAUUAGUUGGUAUACGAUGAUUAGAUAAUGAAUAGUGUCAUUUAAUAAAAUAUGGUUAGGUGACAAGUAGUAAUGUGUUGUCUAGUAAUGAUUAAUGGAUAUAGGAUGAUUAGUGAUAAUAAUGAAUGGUGGAUAAAUGUUGUUUUUGGUUUGGUGAUGAACCUUGACUAGAUGUUAGAUGUUGGGUAUUACAUAAAUAGUCGUUAGUUACUAUCCCUUGAAUAAGGAUUAUAUGAAGGAUAAUGUUUAUGCUAAUAACUAAAGGUUAUGUGAUGACUAGUGAACUAGUGAUUUUAUGAUAAUAAGCAUUGGUUGCUAAUAACGAUAAUAACGAGUAGUUGGGAAGUAUUUACUAGAUAGAUAUUCUAUGGUGAUAUGACUAUUUUUAUGAGUAUUUUAGUGUAUGUUAUUCGGUAGUGACUAUUAUGAUAAUAUAUUGAUACCCGACAAGGCCGGAGGAUACUGUUGUGAUGAUGUUUAUACCUGACAAGUCUAGAGGAUAUAUUUAUGAUAUAUUAAUACCCGGUGAGGUCGGAGAAUUCUAUUGAUGAUGUGUUGAUAUCCGAUAAGGCCGGAGGGUGAUUACGAUGAUGAUGGCCCUGAUGAGGACAGUUAUGAUGAACUGUGAUAUUGAUUGUGUUCUUUGCAUUCACUUCUGCAUGUGCAUCGCCUAUCACCAGUAUGCACUUAUAUUUAUCAACCGGUAUAUGACAGUUGCAUAUAUAUGGUGAAGAAUAUGCCUUGUGUUGUUGUAUGCUGAUUGAACCUUCCGAGUCUGGGGUAGUGGGGGCACACAUAGGCUCGGCUAGGUAUUUGGUUAUCCGUAAGUUGAGGACUAAGGAGAUUGCGUCUGUGAAAGUCCAGUGUAAGAAUCUUCCUAUUGAGGAGGCCACUUGGGAGAUCGAAGCACACAUGCGUAACAAGUAUCCACAUAUUUUGAUGAUUCAGUUAAUUUUUUGUUUCCUCUUCUUAUCUCUUGUUUGCCCGUUUGUGGAUGAACAGUUGUUUAAUUGAUAUCUGAUGUAACGGCCCUCCUAGUCAUUUCGUAAAUUUUACUAAACUUUUUAUUUUAGCUCUUCUCUAGUUUGUAUAUGUGAUUUAUGAGUUACGAAGAUGAAUAGUACCGAUUCUUGAGGUGUUCUGGGUGAGUUAAGUCCUUAGUUGGGUUAUUGAGCUAAAGGAAGUUAAAUUUAAUUGUUCUCAAUUUUCGAUCAAGAUGACCCUAGAUUAGUAUUUUAAUGAUUUCAAUAGAUUUGGAAUGUAUUUUUUUAGUCAAUUUACAUAUUUAAUUUAUUUUUAUAGGAUUCCGAACAAAUUAUGAGAAUUUAUUAGAAGUGUUGGGUAUUUUAAUAAUUAAAUUAAAGGUUGGUUAACGAAAAUAUUUUUUUAUUAAAAUUAGUAGUGGGUCAUAACCACUACUCCCUUAUUUUUUUCUGUCAUAUGUGAAAUCAGAGUAAUAGAUUAUCAGAUGAGGUAUUUAACGUUCAAUUUAUUAGAACAAGCGAGAAAAGAAAAGGAAAAAGGAGAAACUGCUGCUGCUGCAUAACACAAAAUCUCAGGUUCUUUUAUUUUAAUGUGUAGAUGAGUGUGAUAUGUAUAAUUUUAGUGGAAAGAAAAUUUGAUUAAUGGAAAAAGUAGGCCGCUGCUGGCAAGAAAUCAAGUGGCAUAGGCCACUGUAGUUGAUUUCACACUUUUUCAAUGAAAUGAAUGGCCACUAUUGGCUGAUUUCUUAAUUUCCCAUGAAUUUCAAAAGUGGCACAGGCCACUAUUGGUUGCCUUCUUAAUUCUCCACGAAUUUCAAAGUUGCGCUGGCCAUUGUUUUGUUGUUAGUUUCGAAACCGGAGGUUAUCGUAUGAAGUUAAUUAUUGUUUUUGGAUAUAUUAAGGUUUAGUCCUAGGAUUUAUAGAAUAAGAAUUUAUAAAUGGGUGUUAUUAAAUUUUUAUUCUUAAGAGGAUUAUAUGUUUGAACAGAUUUUGAAUGUUCCGAAAAUUUGAGAAAUGACAAGGCACUUGUGGACUACUGAUAUUUGAGUUCUUCAUUUGAGGUAAAUUAUGGUUUAAUUAGAGUUUAGACUCAAUUUAACUAUGUGUAGGCUCCUAAAUUGGAUACUUAUGGAUUGGUAUUUGUACAUGUUUGAAAUUAUUGAUGUUUGGAUUAUUGAUUCGUGUAUAAAUGUUUAUUGAAAAUUGACUUGAUGAAAUUGUCUCAUGACUUUAAGUGUACGUGUAAUCUUGGUACAUUGUGUUGUAUGCUGUGAGGUUGUGUAAAUUGAUAUUGAUAGUACUUGUUUAUGUUUAUGUUGGAUCGGGUCCCACGCCGGUACGUUUACAUUUAUGUUGGAUCGGGUACCACGCCAGUACGUUUACACUUAUGUUGGAUCGGGUACCACGCCGGUACAUUUAUAUUUAUGUUAGAUCGGGUACUAUGCCAGUACAGAUAUGUAUAUGUUGGAUCGGGUACCACGCCUGUACGUUUACAUUUAUGUUGGAUCGGGUACCACGCCUGUACGUUUACAUUUAUGUUGGAUCGGGUACCACGCUGGUACGUUUACAUUUAUGCUGGGUCGGGUACCACGCCGGUAUGUUUAUAUUUAUGUUGGAUCGGGUACCACGCCGGUAUGUUUAUACUUAUGUUGGAUCGAGUACCACGCUGGUGAGGAUAUGUAUAUAUUGUAUCGGGUACCACGUCAGUACGACACGUGAACAUAGAUUGUUCCCUGCAGGUCAUGACUAUGUGGGCAAAAAUAAGUCCUAUAGCAUGUGUGUACAUAUUUGUGUUGAUUCUGUAAAUGUUUAUAGUAUGGUUGAUACUCUUGAUGGUUAUGUGGCUUGUUUGUGAGCACUGUUUGAUAUGUUGUUGUUGUAUUUUUGAUUCAUUGAAUAUUUGUUCUGUGACGAUGUCUGUCUACUUGUUAUUUGAUUUAUGUUGUGUACAUGCUAUUAAAUUGAGUUGACCUAUGAUGCUUACCAGUUCAUAGUGGUUUGUACUGAUACUACCCUAUACUCUUCUUUUAUUGAGUGCAGAAAGUGUUAUAGGCUCAGACAUGACCUCACCUCUAGAGUUUAAUAGCAGAUCUUGAUCCAAGGGUGAGCACUCCGUUUCCAGGCUGCCAUGGGCCAUCUUUUUUGCUCUUGUCCAUCUUUCGGACAAUGAAACAUUCUUUAUUUACUUUAUUUUUGGAUAUCACUUUAGAUAUGAUCUUUGUUAGUAGUUCUUGUACGGUGACUUUCGGGUCUUGGGAAUUUUAGUAAGUAUUUUAUUUGACUUCCGCAUUAAUAACGAUUAAUCCUGAAUUAUUAUUAUGUUAAUUUUAUGAUAUCA